UGACCGCGUGUUCGCGAUUUUAUAGCACAUAUACACAAGCGCGUAACACACGUUAACGGCUUUAUACGAGCGUACACACCGCCAUAGAGAAACGGCGGAUAUACACGUAUAUUGUUAAGUCCCGAUCUCUCGACUUCUCGACUAGUUAGCCGGCAAUGGUGUACUGGCUCGUGUUCGUGCCUUGGGCAUUGUAAUAUACAUAAACUCGUCGAGAGAUAAGCCGUUUGUGCAGGCGCGGCCAAGAGGACCAAACUCUUCCCCCACUCCCGUUCCCGCCGCCGCCACAUCGGCAAUUCGGUACCAAAGACGUGUAGCUAUGUAUACCUGGCGGGAGUGCGCUUCGUGUCCGUAUAACCUCUUAUAUACAUAUAUCCUCGAUAACUUCUGGCUGCUUCGUCAUUUCCUCACGAUUGGAAAACACAUUAAGGAUCACGACACCUACCUCCGAACCCACCUCUCCCGCAAUGGCGCUCAUUUAUAAGAAUACGAAAUGGUCGUCCCCCCAGCAGCAGGUACAAAUCCCAAAAUACGUUUCUCGCUCCUGCGCUCCAUGGCUAAUUGUUCACGAGAUUAUAUAUUUUCGACGAAUAAGAGAUAAACGAAGAAAACAGCUUUGAAUGUCAUCCUGCUGACAUCCGAUUAGCAAUUUUUUCAAUUUCCAACGCGAUUUCAAGGCGAGAGUUCUGGCGAAAUUCACGUCAAUGACGAAAGAGAGCGCGGUAGAGCGAGGAUCUACGAAUAAAAUAAAUCGAUGUUGAAACGUUCAUUUGACUCAUUUUAACAACCAAAUAGUGAAAAAAAAAAAACGGUCAAACGACAAAUGCCGGUCGCCGGACAAGUGAAUCACUCGAAAAUUUCAGGCUUAUUUUAUAUCCAAUGUGAUCGCGAGUGAACGCAAUAAGUCGGCACAAAUUUGGGUCAGACACAUUACGCACAUAUUGAAUAAAAUAAUAAUAAUAGCAAUAAUAGUGAGAAUAAUAAUAAAGAUAUACGAUUAUGUGCAGCCGAGGAUUGCAUAGACUGCACCAAUACGUUUUGAGGCUAUUAAAUAAAACUGGGUUACACACAUUAGCAUCGGCGGAUUUAUUUAGUUCCAUCGCGGAAAAUUCCCAGGAAAGACCAACACGAAAUUGGCUCUCUUCGAUUCUCGAUAAUAACGAAAGGUGAUUACGUCAUCCGAUAACAUGGAAAUGCAGAAUAAAUCGAGCGAGACUGCUGGGAUUCCCUGGGAGAAGAAAAAACGUAUGUUCCAACGGAUUUCGAGGAGGGGCGAUAAUCAACGGGCUUUUUGAGACACUCCGACGUUUUUUCUCACCCUUGAAACCAAGAGAAUAUUAGAACGGAGAAUCGCGUCGCCAGCAUCUGCCUUUCGAGUUCAAUAAUCCACGAAAGAUAUCGGUCGGUGCGAUGAUGGAGCGUGAAUGGAGAAAAAAGGAAAGCGCCGCAUCAUCGUGGACUGCUUCCCUCAGCCGCUCAUUUUUCUUCGAAUGAGAGAACUCGUUCGAUUCUAUCAUUAUCGGAAAUAUUGGAUCGGGGAAAUAGCUGUCAGAAUGAUUAAGAAAAACGAGUUUCUCGCGGAUGAUGAGAAGCCCGGGAGCUCUGUAAUUGAGAAUAAAAAGAGAGAAACUCGAUUGUGAAAUUGAA